rnacentral:rRNA from 1 species
GACAGAGGGUGCAAACGUUGUUCGGAAUUACUGGGCGUAAAGCGCGUGUAGGCGGCUCGGCAAGUCGGGUGUGAAAGCCCUGGGCUCAACCCAGGAAGUGCAUUCGAAACUUCCGAGCUGGAGUCCUGGAGAGGAAGGCGGAAUUCUCGGUGUAGAGGUGAAAUUCGUAGAUAUCGAGAGGAACACCGGUGGCGAAGGCGGCCUUCUGGACAGUGACUGACGCUGAGACGCGAAAGCGUGGGGAGCGAUCCGG